AAAUGAAGUUAUAUGUCAAAUGUUCUCACUGGAAAGUUAAUUUACAAUAAAAAGAUGCAAUAACUAUCUCAAAACAACCUAAUGGCAACAGUGAGCUCUCUGUUCUGGGUAUCCUUAGAAUAAUUGGCCUUUUAGUUGAUUUGACUAACUGACAGUUGAAACACUGAUAAUUACCUAUGGCAUGCUUUACUUUUGAUUUUGUAUUAGAAUACUCUCCUAAUGAAUGAAUGUAUAGUAUCUUUAAGCAAUUGUAUUUGACUGUUUUUCAAUGUUUUGCCUUCAUCUAAGUAAUUCUCUAUGGAAAUAUGUGCACACAUCAAUAGCUACAGAGGAGGCUUUUUAAUUUAAUUAAAAGAAAAGCAGCACACCCAUGAGGCCUCUUUAUGAUUAAACAAUUGUGACUUAAAAAUAGUAUAUUAAUUUUAUCAAUUUACCAGGAUAUCAUUUCAACUUUAUGACAAGCUUUCAGGUUUAUUUAGGAACAGUCACAAUCCAUAAUAUUAUAAUCUUAAUAGCAUAUGCUUUAUGGUGUUCUUAGUAUACAGGGGAUUAUGAACAUUGAAAAUCUUUAAUUCAUUUGUGGUAAGGGCUUUUAGUAGUAAUGUUUUCUCAAUAGUUGGUAGAUCUAAACUGAGCCUUAUGGUUGGUUUCAGCUCUGUAGAAACAUCCUGCAAGGUAAUCUGUGGAAUAUUACAUUGGCUCAGUCAGAAACGAGGUGAUGAUUGCAUACACUGAUGAUAAAAUUCCCAAGAAAGAAGCAAAAAAAAUCCCUCAAUUUUCUGUGUUUAAGCCAGAAUUUAAAUUCUUGAGUUGAGGGUGAGUAUAUGGGAGCAUGUAAACUGUUACACAAUGAUCACUGUCUGUUGCUGUCUAAACAUGACUAAAUUUUCACUUUUCAUUAGGAAGCCCUGGCUUGUAUGAGUCACUAUUUCUGUACAACCUUCUACAGGAGAAAAAAAUUGUAUUACAGUGUUACCAGGGAUAUACUGUGUGCAUACCAUCUCUAAAUAUAAAUGUUAUCUUGUCACAGUCAUUGUUUUACAUCUAAAAUUUUUC
rnacentral:lncRNA from 1 species